UAUUGAUUAAAUGCAUAGAAUAUAAUAACUCCUUCCACCGAGCCACGCCUCAGAAAUUAGCUAGUCACCCUACAUUGCGGUUUGCGGAGGAAAUUCUCCUGCAGAAGUCAUCCUCUCAAUAAUUUUUGAAGGAGUAAUACGCAAAGAUAUAAGAGACUGACAAAGGCAAAAACAACUCCAAUAGCUCCGAAGUAUUGCAGAGGAUCAAGAUUGAACGAUAUCUGGAUUCUACGUCCAAAAAAGAUAUAUGGAUUUCAACUAAGCUUAAUAUGAUCAUUAAACAUUUGACGUCCAAAAUGAAACGAUCUUCCAUUGGUACUUCCUGUUUUUCUUCAAAUCCGACGAUUCGUUCUACUUGGAUAGUAGAAAUGUCGGAACGUCAACAAGUGUAGGAAAUGGAAACGUGUACCUCUUCAGUCUUAUAUUUCAAUGAGAUUUUAUCAUGGCGACGAGAAUAUUUCUAUUGAUAAGCUUCAUUGAAGCAUAUUGAAGAAGAAGAGUGUUUCAAGAGGCAGUUGAAAAUUAUAGCAAAGGAAGGAACAAUGUUAGCUAUUGUUCAUGUAUGCUUUAUGUGAUUGUGAAUACCUAGGAAGAGGAAAAAGAAGAAAAUACGAACGUGCUUGAUGAUGAAGUUUCGAAAGACCAAUAUGUUGCUGUUUUAUAAAGCUUGGAACAAGGGUACGAAGAAAUUGGAGGGAUUUAUCUUCUUUAAAGCAUCUAACCGUGAGCAGAUUUAGCUAGAGGGUAUAUUCGAGUGUGCUCAAAAAGAUUUGUCGAUGAGGCGUCCGACGGUCCACGCGGGGUUAGGAUCACAGGGGAAUUAUAAUGAAACUGAGGGACGUUUAUCAUACAAAAUGAUUGAACAGACAGGGACGAUCAAAAGGUUCAUCUUUUUUCAAAGUAAUACCAUUAGCAGGGGAAUACUUUUAAAUUAUACGUGAAAUAGAAAGUCCACGUCACUUCAUUGUUAUUCCAUCGAUUUAAAUUAAAUAACCAUUCGAUAUAAUUAGAAAGGGAGAAGUAUUGAAUUCUAUAUUUCAAACUGUUUUCCGUAAUAUUCACGACAUAUACAUAAAAAAUAGUCGUAAUACUUAAUUAGAGUUUUUCUUAAAUAUUGAUAUUUGGAUGAAAUAAUUUGGUGCGUAACGUUAAUUAUCCAUUUAGUAUGUUAUGAAAGGAAUUUCGUGAUAGUGGAUGUCCGUAAUACGUUCUCCCAUAUUUAUCGUCAAGUACGUUCGUGUAAACCUUUCUCUAUUAUCUCUCUCCAUGUACGUGUGCUCUUUUGCGCGUCUAUCGGCAUCGGGUCGAGUGGUUUGCAUUGAAUGUGCGUGUGUACGUAGAACUCCUGCCUUAUUUUGAUAAUAAGGAAGGUAUUUUUUCAUUUGUUUUCCUGUCAUCAAACCAAGCAAACAAUAGGAGAUUGGCUGUAUAAUUCAAUGACCUAUUUAGAUUCAUUGUUUGAUAACAAGCUUACUUAUUUUGCAGAACAAUAGCCUAUUUUUUUAGGAACCAAUUGAUUUGGAACCUUAUAAACGAUAUAUUAGAUAAUUAGAAGUGUAAUGGUAUUAUUGUUUUGCAUUCACCAAUAGGGAGUAACUUUCCGGAACAAUUUAUCCGUUCAUAUUGAAGAAUCAUACCAGCCGUGGUAUAUCGAUCCGCUAAAGACAAAUGAAAUCAUACAGCUAAAUAGAUAAUUGAAUUAUACCGCUAAUCGUAUUAUCGGAUUGUCUGCUUGGUUUGAUGAGGGGAGAACUAAUGAAAAAAUACCAUCCUUGUUUUCAAAAUGAGUGAGGAGAUUUACGCAAACACGCGCACUCUCUUCCGUCCACUUGACUGGAACACGUAAACGCGCAUGUGCACGGAGAGAGGUAGUAAUAAAUCGUUCAAUAUGAUGGUGCUGAACGAUAGGUAGGAGAGAAGGUAUUCCUCAACAAGCAAAUCGUUAAAUGCCGAUCAAUACUUGUUAACAGGGGAAUUUGUAGGCAUGGAGAAUCAUAUAUUUUUGCAGAAAAAUCACAAUUUUGUCCAUUAUAAUUUUCCAUGAUGUCUGUGAUAAAUGUUGAAUCAAUUCUUUUCCAACAUUAUCAUCGCUCGCAUUAUGCGUGAGGUCUUUCCGUUUUUUUGUUGGAUGUAAUGACUAUCACUCCUAUCGUUUUCUUCCCGAUUUUUUUUUUUUUUUCUAAGAUGUCUGUAUUAAUGUUUGUCUUGAAGCCAAAAUUCCCCUUCGAUAUUACUUAUAGCACGAAACUUACUCGUGUUUGGAAAUUUUGCCAUUCUCUUAAUGAAAAAGAUAUGAGUAAGUAAACAGGUUGGAAGACUGAAAUUGUAUAUUACGAAAUCACGAAACGAUAUAUACCAAAGGAAUAUUACGUUUCUGAUUUUUUGGCUUAUUAGUGUAGGGAACUAUCUGUUUCACUAGAAAUUUCAAUACGACACGAGUUCAGCUUCGCAAAUCUCCCCUCAGUUUCAUGAUUGCUUGUUUACUCCAUCAAAUAUCAUUGCAUGGUACGAAGCGUACUCGCGUACGAUUGCAGACAAGUCCUUAUCGCUCUCUUUAAGUGGUUUAUAGAAGCCCUCAGACCGUUGUGAACGUACUUCUUUUUCAUAAAAUCGACUGACAUUCUUUUCGUAUAACUUGGUAAUUUGACCAUUUCUGUUUUAACUAACUGAGUGUUUCUCUCGAAGGGGAAAUACGGGAAAGAGGGGAAGGUAAUAUUAGGAAACCAUAAAUGUGACGAAAGAUUUUCUCCGAAUUCGUUUUUUAUUAUUAUGGAAUAGCGAAAAUGCUAUCUUCGAUAACUUGAGCAAUAUGCAUUUGUUUACAAGAAAAGGAAAUAAUAUUUGGAGAAAAUGUUUUCAUGCAAUAUGGCAGUAGAUAUAACUUCCGACGAAAAAAUUUUUUAAGAGAGAUGAUUUUACUAUAAGAAUUAUAUAGUAUAUACGUAGUACGAAAAUUGAUAGUGAUAUCAUUAUGAAUAAUAGAAUACUGAUAAUAGAAUACCAUUAAGCAUAAGUCAGACUUACGAAAAAAAUAACAGUGCGAUUUUCCUAUAUUAAUAUUCGAUUAACUUCAUAAGAAUUAGUCGUCAUAAUUACAAUAAUUAUUAUUCUAAUAAUUAAUUAUAUUAUAAAUAAUUACAGUUUUAUGUGAUUCUUUCAAUUAAAAAAUAGACGAAUUAUUGUAAGAUUCUCAUUAGGAAAUUCCAUGAUAUAUUACACAGAUAAUUUCGCAUGAACAUAGAGUAUAUAUACAUAUAAUUACAUAACUAUAGGAGUGGCGAAAUUAUUUAUCCCCAUGCGUUCUAGUUAGAGAAUUAGAUUUUAGGAAGCUUGGUCUUCUAUCCAGCUAACAUGUGGCUAAUUAAACUAGGUUAAGUUAUUCCUUCCGGGAUUUGCGACCCAGUCAUACGCAAGUGUGUCUCAUACGCGAAAUAAUCCCUAGCUAUCAUACAUGUCAAAACCAGUUUUACAAAUGACAGAAACGAUUGAAACACCUUUAUCACUAAUCAUUCCAUUAUUCCAUUAAUAUUCAUUAAAUUUGACAUUAUAUUUGUAUAAGAUUUAUUAAAAGAUUUCAUUUCCAUAUUAUAGUACUUAUCGGAUAAUUACUCCCAUUUGGGAUUCGUACCAUUUAGAAUAUUUGAGAUAAAUUCACUUAUAAAUAAUAAUACUUUCUUCGACUGCAUAUAAUCUACGAAAGUAUUCUAUAAAUUAUUAUAAAAUGGAUAAAUAUGUUAUAGACUUUAUAUUCGACAUUACAUUUUAGAACAAAAAAUUUAUCAUAUCUCUAAAAUAUCUUACCAUUAAAUAAACACAGCGUUGAUUGUUUUUCCAUUUAAAAGCAAUUUUAAAAAGGAAAAUGUGUUCAUAUAGUAAUCUUAUUGUUUUUCUGGUAUUUGUACUAUCCAUGUUGUACAAUCGUAUCGUCGUAUGUACGUAAGAAUAGAUAGAAUCAAUGUGAUUGCUUUUCACUUUGGAUGUGCAAUGUUAUAUUAUCUGGUGGAGCGUUGUUUUUCUUUGGAAUUACAAUUCAAAUAUAAAUCAAUUCGGCUCCUUUGCAAUACCUCCAGGCUAUCGGAACUGUUUUCGUCUUCGGUUGGUUUAGUAUAUCUCUGAAACAAUAUAAGAUUCGUAGAUUAGUUAAGACUUACGGAAGCCAUUCUAUUGUUCAUCUAAUUGUAUUGUACUCAAAAAUAAAUUUUGUUACAUCCUUACAUGUGAUAUAAAGUACCUUUUCCGAAAGGCAACAAAUAUUAAUUAAGAUUGUAUUGAUCACGAAAAUCAGUUUCAUUUCCAUAAUACAAAAUUGAAAUUUUAUAAUAAAUCACGAACUUACGAUUACUAACAAAUUUACCUUGUAUUGAUAGCUUAAACAAAUGACUAGUAAGAAUGAAGAAAUUGCUUCAAACGCCUGAAUACUUAUAUAACCGAUCUCUGGGACGUAUGAAGUAUGCACGAACGAAUAUUUGUUUUACCACACUCGCCCGUGUAUUACUAGAUCGACAACUACCGAAUGAAUGACCUAUAGCUUCAUCGCCGUCCUCCGAACGGCGGUAUUUAUACCCCGCACAACGCUUUGGGUUGUUAACCGAGCGAAAACGAUGGCACCCUCUGCACAGGGUUAUUACACUUGGCGUAGAUUAAUCAAUAUAUCGAAAAAACCAAAAUGCUGAUAAGUUACGUGGAAAUGAAUUUCUCUAUUGAUCUCUAUUAAUUGGGUGUAUCAUUAUCCUUUUUCUUCUAUGCUCUUCUGUCGUUUGUUUUCUCCCUUCCUUCUCUUUACAAUUUGCAAUUAGAAAUUAAUUAAAGAAUUCUGAAAAUUGUCAAUUAUGUUUCUUCCUGUUUUUGUCGUUAAAAAUAUUUAUGAAUAAGAAUCGAUCUGGAGCAAAGAAUAUUGUUUGACAAUUUUUUUUGUUAUAUCACUUUCUGUUCUUUUUCUAUUAUUGAAGAUAACAAUCUCUUUUUUACACAUCUGUGUUUUUUUAUAUUGCAUUAGUAAAGAGUAUUGAUUCAUACAAAAUCAUUUGUCACUUUUUUUUUCCUAAUAUCAUCUUUAUCUCUUCUACGUAUUUUAUUUGGUCACCAUUUACGUAAGUCAAUCAAAAUUUCCUAUUACGCGAUUGAACGACUCGGAAAGGCUUAAUUGGAUAUGGAUUGGGGGGAAAUGAAUUUCUCGAUGAAGAUAGAUUUACCGACAGAUAGAUUUAUUGAAGGGUCGUCCGACGUUGCACGAGGAACGUCGAUCAUAGAGUCUUGAAAUGAACCUGAGGGUGGUAUAUUUUGCAAAAUGAUUCAACACGUAGGGACGAUAAAAAGCUCUACCGUUGUUCGGGAGCUCGAAUUCUCAUGGAAAGAUUCAUUCGAGGUAAAUGAUUUUCAAGUAAUACGUUUUCCCAUACUUAGCUUCAAAUACGUUCAUACUGAACGUAUUAUUAUUAUCUCUCUUCAUCCAUGUGUGUACAUUCGCGCCAGCGUAGCGUUUUCAAGUGCACUUCCUCUUGGGUAUAUUAUUGUAUAAUGUUGAACAGAAAUGAAAAUAUAGUUAGAGUUACCCGAUUUCGAACAUGUUUGUUUAUACAUUUAUGGGAUUUAAUCGUAUGAUCGUAUGUGGAGCCAAUCGUUGUGUAGCUGUUGCAUCUUCCAUGAUAUUAUACCGUGUUUGCUCUACCUAAGAUACUGCCUAUUGACGAGUCCAAUAUGUCCGUUGAUUUUUUUGGUUGAUACUAGUUGAAUUGCUGGCUUGUCGGUCAGUUGUAAUAAAGAUACAUGAUCUCUUAGAAUCGAGAUUCAUGAUUCAAUGAGGACGAGAAUACAAAGAGAAAAACGGAGAAACAAUUUGUCUUCGAGGGAUACAUACCGCCAAUUGAACCGGUAUCGUUUGUUUUUGUGAUUAAUCCUAUUAGUUUUCGUUUUUUGAUUAUCAUACUUUCCGCUUGCUUGAAGCGAAGGUCCGUUCCAGAGAGUUUCAAGUAGAUUUGGACAUAUUUUUCUGAUAGAGAUAAAAUUCUGAAUGUUGACCCAAAUAUUUAAAUAUAUAGUUAGGACUCUUAGAAAGUAUACUAAAAGAUUAAUUGAACGUUUUAAAUAUCUUCGGAAGAUUCUGAAGUAUGUUUAACAAAAAUAUAAUAUCAAAGAGGUUGAAAUAUUUUAAGGAUUACUAUUUUUCCAUGCUAACGUGAAAAUCGUUUAAUUGUAAUAACUAUAAUGCAUUAGGAAAUAGCAAUUUAAAAGUACUCGAGUCUUCUCUUUGACAUGUUGACAUUAUUUUUCGAGAAAUGAGACCUAUGUUGAAAUGUGAUUUACACGAAAUAUUUAUUUAUUAUUCGUUUCCUGGAAAACAAAUAAGGUCAAUCGAGGAGGAUUUGGCUUGUUCUGACGAGAAGAAAAGAAAUGAAAAAAUACAAUCCUCUUUAUCAAAAUAAGGGAGGAGAUAUACGGACGCAAGCCCACAGUACCGCGCGCGUAUUCCCGCCCACAUGGCCUAGUGCGCAUGAGUGAACACUCGAGCACUGGUGCAUGGAGAGGGGUAAAUAGAAAUCGUUUAAGCCGAAGGUACUUGACGAUACGUAUGGAAGAACGCAAUGCGCUCAUGUAUUUUCAUUAAAUCCCAAUCGAAAUGUAUUUCAACUACGUAAUAAAUUAAUUCGUCCAAAUACUACAAUGAAAAACCUCCGUUACUGAUUAUUUUUAAUAACAUGACCUGAAUAUUCUGACAAAUAAUUUGGAACAUUGAACAAUAUACUUCUUCCCCCUUUAAAUUAUGUUGAAUAAUUAUUUAAGCUGAUGGUAUAACGAUGACACGAUAGAUGGACGUACCCUGAAUGUUAAACGCAUAAUUUAACAGUAUUCCCGAGAUAACAACACCAUUUCAAUAGAAAACUCCAGUGAGACACGGUAUUCCCAAUAAGUAGCGUUUCAAUCACCGCCCAAAUCACUUACUAACUCUGUGGUUCUCUCGAAUAGGAAAUACGUGAAAGAGAAGAUGAUGAUAUUAGGAAACAAAGAAAUAUGACAAGAGAUUUUCUCCGAAUACUUGUUUUUAUUAUCGUGCAAUAACGGAAAUGAAUUCUAGGGUAACUUAAGCAACAUAUAUAUGUUUACAAGAUAAGAAGGUGCUAUUUGAAGAGAGUGCUUUUAAGGAAAAUGGAAGUAGAUGUAACUUCCUACGAAAAAAAUUUUAACAACCGAAUAUUUUACAAUACGAAUUACAUAGUACGAAAAUUGUAAUAUCAGUAAUACCAAAUAAUAUUAGAACAUUACUUUUAAGUUCAACUUGAACUUACGAAAGAAGAAACAUUACAUAUUUCGUAUAUGGUAUUACGAUUAAAUUGAUAGAAAUUAAUGUUUAUAAUUACAAUAUUUAUUGUUUUUGAUAUUAUUAUUAAAAUAAUUUGAAAUUAUUAAUACAAAAAUUAUUAAUAAUAACGAAUUAUAUUAUAAAUAAUUACAAUUUUACGUGAAUAUUGCAAUUAAAGAAGAGAAACUUAAUUGUCAAUUUCAUUAGAAGAUUCCAAGUUUUAUGAAAUAAUUUUAUAAGUGCAAAAAGUCAUUCAAGUGCAAAAAAUAAAAAUAUGUCUACAGGAGAUGGGAAAAUAAAAUAAAAAUAUAGUUACAGGAGAGGGGAAAUGUUUCAUCCCCAAACUAGAAAAUUAAAAUCUAGGAAACUUGGUCUUCUAACGAAACGACGUGGGAUUAACUUAACCAGGGGAAGUCAUUCCUCCCGUGAUUUUCGAUCCAGUAAUACGCAAGUGUGUGUCAUACGCGAAAUAAUCCCUAGCUCUCAUACGUCCGAACGACGAGCUUUAUAAGCAAUAAAAACCGUUGAAACACCAUUAUCACUAGCCAUUCUAUUAUUCCAUCAAUAUACUUUAAAUUCAGCAGUAGCCAUUUGUAUAAGAUUUCUUAAAAAAUUUCAUUUGUAUAUUAUAGAAAUUACCGGAUAAUUACUCCAAUUUGGGUUUCAUUCCAUUUGGAAUAUUUGUGAUAAAUUCACUUAUAACUAAAAAUACUUUCUUCGACUG